GCCCAGUUCAGUAGCACGAGCUUGUAACCCGAGCGGGCGCUGUAAGGUGGUGUGGAUGUUGCCAGCGGCCACUUGGGCCUUGCAGCCUACUCCAACAAACCACCACUUUU
rnacentral:SRP_RNA from 1 species